CUUGAUGGUAGUGUAUUGGACUACAGUGCCUAUAACGGGUAGCGGAGGAUUAGGGUUCGAUUCCGGAGAGGGAGCCUGAGAAACGGCUACCACAUCCAAGGAAGGCAGCAGGCGCGCAAAUUACCCAAUCCCAACUCAGGGAGGUAGUGACAAGAAAUAGCAAUGCGGGGCUUCUUGCUCUGCAAUUGGAAUGAGAACAAUUUAAAUCACUUAACGAGUAUCAAUUGGAGGGCAAGUCUGGUGCCAGCAGCCGCGGUAAUUCCAGCUCCAAUAGCGUAUAUGUAAGUUGUUGCGAUUAAAAAGCCCGUAGCUGAACCUCGGGCAACCCUGACGGUCCGCGUUUCGUGAGUACUGUCGUGGGUUGUCUUUCUGGCAAGACCGUAUCUCGGCGUUAACUCGCCGGGAACGGCGCUUGCCAAGGUUACUUUGAGUAAAAUAGAGUGUUCAAAGCAAGCUCGCGCUCUGAAUACACUAGCAUGGGAUAACACGACAUGACCGAUGGUCUACCUUGUUGGCCUGUAGACCUGUUGGUAAUGGCUAAUAGGGACGGUCGGGGGCAUUCGUAUUUCGCUGUCAGAGGUGAAAUUCUUGGAUUUGCGAAAGACGAACUACUGCGAAAGCAUUUGCCAAGGACGCUUUCAUUAGUCAAGGACGAAAGUCGGGGGAUCAAAGACGAUUAGAUACCGU
rnacentral:rRNA from 1 species